rnacentral:rRNA from 1 species
ACGGAGGCCCCGAGCGUUGUUCGGAAUCACUGGGCUUAAAGCGCGUGUAGGCGGGACGGUAAGUACCUUGUGAAAUCCCCGGCUUCAACCCGGGAACUGCUCGGUAUACUGUCGUUCUUGAGGCAAGUAGGGGUUACUGGAACCUUAGGUGGAGCGGUGAAAUGCGUAGAUAUCUAAGGGAACGCCAGGGGCGAAAGCGGGUAACUGGGCUUGUCCUGACGCUGAGACGCGAAAGCGUAGGGAGCAAACGG